UUCUUCUUCUUCUUCUUCUUCUUCUUCUUCUUCUUCUUCUUCUUCUUCUUCUUCUUCUUCAAAAUCGCUUAACUUUCCCUUGAGACUGGAUUAAGAAGCCUUGUUCUAAGUUUUUGGUUGCUGAAGAAGCCUGCGAAUUUCUGCUUUUUAGAUCCCGACAGCGAACUUUAAUUUGCGUGAUUUGGUGAACCUAACUUCGUAGUUCGGAAGCAGGUUUUUAGAACAUCUCCACUUAUGGCAACUUGCCCAGCUAGGAGGAGUAAGUCCUAGCCAUGUGCAUACGUUUUUUGUAGUAGCGCUACCAGACAUGUGUGUCCGUUCCGACUGUAGUAGAAGAUCCAUCUUUGGCUGUUGACAUUCUGUCUGUUCCAACUUCACAGUCGAAGAUCCAGCCUCAAGCUGUUGAUCAUGUUUAUUAGUCAUGGAGAUGUACACUUCUGGUUUCACGUAUUUUCUGUAUUCUGAUUAUUUUUUGUAUUUUGGUUUUUUCUGUGUUCUGAUUAUUUAUGUAUUCUGAUUAUAUUAUGUAUUUCUAUCUGUUA